AGCAGUGGGGAAUUUUGGACAAUGGGCGCAAGCCUGAUCCAGCAAUGCCGCGUGAGUGAAGAAGGCCUUCGGGUUGUAAAGCUCUUUUGUCAGGGAAGAAACGGUGAGGGCUAAUAUCCCUUGCUAAUGACGGUACCUGAAGAAUAAGCACCGGCUAACUACGUGCCAGCAGCCGCGGUAAUACGUAGGGUGCAAGCGUUAAUCGGAAUUACUGGGCGUAAAGCGUGCGCAGGCGGUUUUGUAAGUUUGUCGUGAAAGCCCCGGGUUCAACCUGGGAAUUGCGAUGAAGACUGCAAGGCUUGAAUCUGGCAGAGGGGGGUAGAAUUCCACGUGUAGCAGUGAAAUGCGUAGAGAUGUGGAGGAACACCGAUGGCGAAGGCAGCCCCCUGGGUCAAGAUUGACGCUCAUG
rnacentral:rRNA from 1 species